rnacentral:lncRNA from 1 species
UGGACGAGUUGUAGUCCUAUCCCUGACAUUUUAUGUCCUUGGUUAAUGUGCUUAGCCAUCUUGUGCUUCAGAAAUGUCCUCCUAUCUGUUCAAACCUGUAAUUUUUGAAGGUUUAAACCAUGAUUUUCUGAUAAUCUCAAACUGCUCACAUCUCCUUGUUAGAACUAGUAUCUUAGAAAUGCUAAAACGAUUAGUUCUGAAAUCACAUUGCUCCUAAAAGAACUAAAUUUUUUUGUAUUAUCUUCGUCUUACUAUUCCCUUUCACUUUUAUAAAGUCACAGAGAGAAGCACUAAGGUAAAAUGAAUGCUAUGUUGAGUUUUUACCAUAUAUAUAACCUAGAGCCUAAUUUUACCUUUCAAAACUCUAGUUUUCCAUACCUGUCAACUCCUAAUUGAUGUCUUUAUACUGUGAGCUCACUGUGUAUUCGGAACACCAACCCCUGAAAAAGCUUAAGCCAGAGUAGCACAAUGGAAGAAACAAACAAACCCAAAACAAAAACAAAGCCAAAAAAUUCACACUCUGAAAUACUUAAUUAUAGACAUAUAUGCAAGAAAUGGAGUCAUCUAAAUGGCUAAACAAAAUUCCCAAGUCUUGAGUAUAUCAUAACCAAGUCAAACUUUACCCCCAAAAGCUCUUCUUUAAUCAUAUUAUUUGCUAGAUACAUUUAUGCAUUAUUUUUAAGUGAGAAUUAUGACAAACCCAUGGUUACUUUUUAAAGUACGUAAAGAAAGGGGGAAGAAGGAAAGUUUUUUCUCUGGGUAUUUUUUUGUUUGUUUGUAUUUGUUUUUUUGGCUCCUGAAAAGGCUGGUAAAGAACAGUAACAGUGCAAGCAGUUAGAAUAUUUCUUUAAAAACAAUGUAAAAAAUGCAAAACAUUAAGGAUCUUCAAAGGCCAAACUUUCAUUAAUAUAGAAAGAAUUUUCACUAGAGUUAGGCAGCCACCCCAAAACAGCAUGGCAAAAUGGCAUUGGUAUAAAGGAAAUAAAAUACCACACAAAAAUCCAAAACAAAACUAAAAACAUUUCAAAUUAAACCUGGAAGACUAGAAGAUUCCAACAGCAGAUUUCUGUCCACUACUGAAACAUUCCAAAAUCCAAGCUCCAAAGGUGCCUAAAUGUAUUUUAAAUGAAACUUUGUUUUGUUUUUUUAAGAAGAAAAAAAAAAAAAAAAAAAAAAAAAGAAAGCAAGCAAGCAGUCAGUGAACCUGGUUAUAAAUCCUGCAAUAUA